GUCGGUGUGGCAUAGUGCUUUGAGUGCUGGACUAUGACUCUAGAGACCAAGGUUCAAUUCCCAGUUCAGCCA
rnacentral:tRNA from 1 species